CAAUAGCGUAUAUUAAAGUUGUUGCAGUUAAAAAGCUCGUAGUUGGACCUUGGACCUGGACAGGCGGUCCGCCUCACGGCGUGUACUGUCUUGCUGGGUCUUUCCUCUUGGUGAUCUGUUUUUUCGGCAGCAGGGAACCAGGACUUUUACUUUGAAAAAAUUAGAGUGUUCAAAGCAGGCUCGACGCCGGAAUAUAUUAGCAUGGAAUAAUAAAAUAGGACGUGCGGUUCUAUUUUGUUGGUUUUUGGAAUCGCCGUAAUGAUUAAUAGGGACAGUCGGGGGCAUUAGUACUCACAUGCUAGAGGUGAAAUUCUUGGAUUUUGUGAAGACUAACUUCUGCGAAAGCAUUUGCCAAGGAUGUUUUCAUUAA
rnacentral:rRNA from 1 species